AGAGCGAACGCUGGCGGCAUGCUUAACACAUGCAAGUCGCACGGGCAGGGGAAACCCUGUCAGUGGCGGACGGGUGAGUAACGCGUAGGAAUCUAUCUCUGGGUGGGGGACAACCGUGGGAAACUACGGCUAAUACCGCAUGACACCUGAGGGUCAAAGGCGCAAGUCGCCUGGAGAGGAGCCUGCGUACGAUUAGCUUGUUGGUGGGGUAAAGGCCUACCAAGGCGACGAUCGUUAGCUGGUCUGAGAGGAUGAUCAGCCACAUUGGGACUGAGACACGGCCCAAACUCCUACGGGAGGCAGCAGUGGGGAAUAUUGGACAAUGGGCGAAAGCCUGAUCCAGCAAUGCCGCGUGGGUGAAGAAGGUCUUCGGAUUGUAAAGCCCUUUCGACGGGGACGAUGAUGACGGUACCCGUAGAAGAAGCCCGGCUAACUUCGUGCCAGCAGCCGC
rnacentral:rRNA from 1 species